ACUCUUCUCUCUUGGCCAAAAUUUUCUCUCUCUUUUAUCCUCGUGAUUAAAUUUUUAUCUUUGUGAGGUAGUUAAUGGAUAGACAUAUAAGUAGGAUAGAAUCAAAAUCAUUAAAUUCAACCUUAUCUCUUUACCUUUUUAACGUGUUUUACUUUCCUUCCUUUGUAAAUAUUUUACUUUCACCUUUCACCUUUCACCAUACUUAGUGACCAAGUACGAUUAAGAAAAAUAAUUAGAGAGAAAAAGGGAGUGAGGUCGAGAUUUAGAAAGACGAAAAAGAAAGAAAACCAACUUUAUCUUCAUACCAUCCCUUCUUCCAUAAUCAAUUAAGAGCACUCCACCACUUGUCAAGCAAGCAAGAACUAGGAUCAACUCUCUUAUCCCCUUCUUGAAUUUUCUUCAAGAAUUCACAAGCAAAUCAACACUAGAAGCUUUUAAAAGAGUGGAGGGAACACGAAAAUUCAAAGGAAAAGGGUAUUUUCUGGCUGAAAUUGAGGAGCUGGAGCAGAAGUCUGAUUCAGAGACAGAGAAAGCACUGCAGAUGUUGUCCGGAUUUGACCUCCUUGCAUUUGGAAGAGCUUUUCUGGAGCUAUAGAAGUCCAAAUGGAGCACUCUUAACGGAUAUGAAAAUCUGACAUCCAGAGCUUUCCAGCAAUAUAUAAUAGUCCAUACUGUACUUCGGAUUAGAAGGCCCAAAACUGGCGUCUAAUGCCAGC